rnacentral:rRNA from 1 species
UACGUAGGGCGCAAGCGUUAAUCGGAAUUACUGGGCGCAAAGCGUGCGCAGGCGGUUUUGUAAGACAGGCGAGAAAUCCCCUGGCACAACCUGGGAAUGGCGCUUGUGACUGCAAAGCUGGAGUGCGGCAGAGGGGGAUGGAAUUUCGCGUGUAGCAGUGAAAUGCGUAGAUAUGCGGAGGAACACCGAUGGCGAAGGCAAUCCCCUGGGCCUGCACUGACGCUCAUGCACGAAAGCGUGGGGAGCAAACAGG